rnacentral:rRNA from 1 species
UACGGAGGGGGCUAGCGUUGUUCGGAAUUACUGGGCGUGAAGCGCACGUAGGCGGCUUUGUAAGUUAGAGGUGAAAGCCCCAGGGCUUAACCCUGGAAUUGCCUUUAAGACUGCAUCGCUAGAAUCGUGGAGAGGUGAGUGGAAUUCCGAGUGUAGAGGUGAAAUUCGUAGAUAUUCGGAAGAACACCAGUGGCGAAGGCGACUCACUGGACACGUAUUGACGCUGAGGUGCGAAAGCGUGGGGAGCAAACAGG